CGAAUGGUCAUGUCUGUUUAUCAACUCAUUUGAAUAUGGCGCACAAUAACGAAGUUCUUGUUGUACUUGAAGAAGUUGCCCGUGUAAAUAAGGAGUUUAUAAACGAGAACCGCGUUCUACGAGAAGAUCUACAAAGGAGAGAUCAGGAGCAGAGAAAGAUUUUGGCUGAUCUUAAUCAGAAAUUACAAGAAGCCACGAGCGGGAACAACUGUUCUGUUAGCAGAAGGACCAGUGCAAAGACAUCACAGGUCAAAGUCCCUGCUGCCUGUCGGG